AAAAUCCUUACAUGACUUCCGUGCCAAAGAGAGCAAAAGGCUUUAAACUGUACUGUGGUCACAUUGGAUUUAACUGUAGCAGCAAGCACAGGCCAGCCCAGGACAGGCCAGCCCAGGACAGGCCAGCCCAGGACAGGCCAGCCCAGGACAGGACACACCCGUGUUGUUGAGAUGGUAAUCACUGCAUCUCCCUGAGGUGUGUUGUUGCCUUGGAGACACCUAGAUGUGAGGCAAUCCCAGGAGGAGAAUCGUUGUGAAAACAAAGUGGAAAGUGAUCAGUACGCUCCAACACCACUCAGUACCAACAGCAGGGGGAUAGAACAGACAGGUGAACAGAGAUUAUUUCAUAGAACCAGCCAAUCACCCUUCAGAGGAAGAGGACGUGACGUCACUUCCUGUUAAAGAGGAAGAGGACUCCAAGGCAGACAUGUUGUCCUCCACACUGGAGUCAGCUCUCGCCCCUCACUGGAGUGUCCGAAUACGCAGGAACAAGCGGGGUGUCGCCUGCACCGACAUUGGCGUGGUUGGCAAGGCAACCAGCGAGCCUGGACAAGAACCCCAAGGGAGUGGACUGGAAGUGGGCGAGGGGGGGACGUUUUUGAAGCUGCACGACCCUCUCGGGACUGACUCUGUAGUGCAACAGCAAGAACAACAGUUUUUGGAGACCAGGAACCAACGUGUUGGGGAGAGGGGGUCGACCCUCGGAUCUCAAGCCCAUGAGAGGGCUUCAACCCUGGCUAUUAGCAGAAGCACAGUCGGGGGCUGGUUUGAGGGGAGCACCCCCAGCCACAAACUAGACCACCCAACAAAGGCCCCAGUUUCUAAUUCUGUCUCCCUGGAUGUGAGUUGGGGGAGGCUGGACAACAGAGGGGUAGAACGUGGAAUUGACUUCCCUGAUACUCCCACCUCUCCAUUCUCUCCAAACCUGAAUGUACACAGGGGAUUGUCACAGGCUGGUCGUCAAGGAGACCAGCCGUCACUGCUGAGUUCCAAACCAAACCUUCUCUCCCUGAGGAGGCUCAACACUAUUGCUAGCUCCACCCACUCAGAGACCAACGCUCCCUCUAUCUCCACUCCAACCAAUCACAGGGAUGGAGAGACUUCAGGUCCACAUUUCUCUCCAACUGUAAACAAUGACAUAGCAUCAAAGACAAUUAGGGCACACCUUUCCUUAACCUCAUCCAAUGAUGGAGACAGAGAGAGGUCCAAGUCCCUCCCCUAUUCAGCCUCCCCCACUUACAGGACAACAGAGAGGUCAAGGCCCCUCCCCUUACCAACUUCCAAACACAGAGAAGCAGACACACACAGAACACACCUAUUUUCAACCUCGCCCAAUUACCAAAAGACAGAGGGCACACCCCUCACCAACCUUCCCCAGAAUUCCAGGGUUUAUCCCAACAAAACCUUCCCCAGUAAGCAGACUCUUUUGUUUAGUGGUGUAGAGAGACAUCCGCCCUUAGAGAGAUCAGGUGCAACCACCGUCCAUCUGUCUUCCUCUCCACCAUCCCAAUAUGGCAACCUGGAAUCUCUAAGGAGUCAGCCUCUUCCCAGAGGAACCACACUGAGGUCUACUAGCCGGAGACAAUACACCGGUCCAGAGGACAGUGGGUCUAAUCCCAGUUCCCCCCUCCUCAGUCCCACUACCACCACCACUAUCAACCACAACAACAACAACCACACAUCCAGCCUCUCAAGCACUUCUAGCAACAAUAACACAGGCCCCUGCAGCACCAAUGAUAUCACAGGUGUUAAUCCCCAAAUCAAUAACUCCAAUAACACAGGCCCCUGCAGCACCAAUGAUAUCACAGGUGUUAAUCCCCAAAUCAAUAACUCCAAUAACACAGGCCCCUGCAGCACCAAUGAUAUCACAGGUGUUAAUCCCCAAAUCAAUAACUCCAAUAACACAGGCCCCUGCAGCACCAAUGAUAUCACAGGUGUUAAUCCCCAAAUCAAUAACUCCAAUAACACAGGCCCCUGCAGCACCAAUGAUAUCACAGGUGUUAAUCCCCAAAUCAAUAACUCCAAUAACACAGGCCCCUGCAGCACCAAUGAUAUCACAGGUGUUAAUCCCCAAAUCAAUAACUCCAAUAACACAGUGCAACACACCCACACCACCCCAUCCCAACUGCAGUCCCCUAAAACCGCCUACACCCCUACCACAAUCCCACAACCACUAAUACUUAAAACCAGCUACGUCCCCAGUAACCCUACCCCCUACACCCAACCGUUUUCCCCAGCCAGCUGCACCCCCAUAUCCCUGAGUAUGACCACCACCCAGGACCCCUCUACUCCUCCUUUCUCCCCACUCAGCGCACCACCUCUUGGGGAGAGGACGUUCACAGGCAGCCUGGCCCGCUCCCCUAAGAAACACCAGUACCCGGUGGAAGAGAGGGUAACAUCACAUAGAGCGUGGCAGGAGUCUCUGGAGCCACAAUGCUCUGAGGAAACCAGUAGGAGGCUGUCACAGUCUCAUUCACGUCAGAGCCCAGCUGACCUGACCAGCUCUACGGCCCCAACCAGACCCCUCCGUAGUGUAGGGUGUCCUGCCAUCUUCACCUCCCUGAGAUUGGGGAGCCCCACCUGGGCUAUGUCACUUCUGUCUCCCCAAACCCCCAGGACCACCAAACUACAGGUCUGGAGGGGAGACUCAAUGCAGAAUUUAUCCAUAAUGCCUGAUACAACGGUGAAGGAGGGAGGGCGAGCUCUCUCAGAGCGUGUUAGCAACCACACCACACGGUUCACAUUCGACCACACAGGAACAGACUCGACCGCACUAGGACCACAGAGGAAGACAUCUGCCCCUCUCUCCCUUCCUGAUUUUGGGAGCUUUUACAAGCCUUGGUUUAGCUCCCUGCCCUACUCCACUCUCAAGUCGUCACGAACAACCCUGGGUGAGUUCACACACACAACCUCACCACAAACCCCUCUCUCACCCUCUACCUCACCCCAAACCCCUCUUUCACCCUCUACCUCACCCCAACGCUACCCCUUCUACAGCCAUCGCAGGACUGGGUCACGGGACAGUUCAAAGGUUGUUGCCUUGGAAACGGAUAGUGUCAUCAACAACUCCAAACAGACCAGUGAAGACGAUGUUGAGACACAUGUAUACCGGAUUUCGGAGAUCGAUUCCUCCACCAUAUUGGACAGUAUUAGACUUGCACAACCCUGUUUUCCUCAACACACUCCAGACACACGAGUCGUCACCAAUAUCAAGUCAAAUAAGCUCUCCCGUCUCACCGCUGACCUCUCACAAUCGUCACAACACAGCCAGGUGAUAGGAAGUCCCAGCUGUCAGUCAUACCAAAGCGCCAAUGACAGUGGAGCAUUAGGCACUGAGAAGGUUGUGUGUAAAAUGGAAAGUUUCCUUAAGAGUGCAGUGGUCCCAUUACAACCUCAGAGCCCAACGAUAGAGGCAGAGAAGGGGCAGAAGGGACGGAACAAAAUGGACCUGGUGCUGAGUCGACUCCAGCCGACCUUCAGAGUCAACCAUCUGGAUGACGAGAGGAGGGAGAGGACACCCCAGCCUCCCUCUGUCAGCAGAGCAAGUGAAAUUAGUGAUGGCACUGACUGUAGCGAAUCUAGCGAUCAAGCAGAGGAAGACAGAAAGGACAGAUGGAGGGAGAAUGAUGGCUUUAUCAAACCUUCAACCUCUUUCUGGGCUGGCAGUGAGCGCACAUCAGAUAUGACUAAGGAAAAUGUUAGAUGUGAACACUCACAAGGUUUAAAAGACAACAAAGAGGCUAGACACAGAGACCAGCCUCAUGAUAUGGACCUUCCUCAAUUUGAGGCUUACAACGACAAAAGCUUCACUCUACCCAGAAACCAACCUUCUAGUCCAGAGAUCAGCCCAACCAGGGGAAGGUUUGAAGCUUGCAAAGAGGAGAGGAUCAGUAGAGCCAGAAAGCAACCUCCUCAGAGAUACUUCAGCCCCGUUAGGCAUCAACCCUGGGGCCCCAGCCGCUCUGCAAGCCUCCCUGCCUACAGAUCCUCCUCAGGCAGCCCCAGGAACACUUUCUCCGUCUUCCACUUCAGCCAUGAGGACUCCAAGAACCACAAUGUCUUCCAUUUCAACCACGAGGAUUCCAAGAACAACAACGUGUUACUCAGCCCCAGGCUUCCUCAUACGAAGAAGACUACCUUUCUCUGUGAGCCAGGGGAAGGAGGGUUUGGUUCCAGGGUGGGCCAGCGUGGCAGUGAGGGACGUAUGGCCUCCUUCUCCUCCUGUGCUGAUCUCAAAUACGGUCUGGAGGCCGGACGUUCCUUCUCUGUGAGCUCCGUGCUCUCCAGUCGACCUUCUGGUCCUGGACGCAUCUCCACCAGCCCCAGGAUCAGCAGUGUCAGUUACCUCACUGACCCCUCUCUGUCCUUUGGAGAAGAAGUCAUGACUUGGGAUGACCUCCGGGUCAAAGGUGAUUGGAUAAUACCAAUGUGGGACACACACACAACCACUAGCCACAAAACCACUGGUGACAGCCAAGCUGUAAAAACCACAGGUGACAGCCAAGCUGUAAAUAACUGGUCCGUCAUUAGUGACCAGACCUCCAAAAAUGAGAGUAAAACAAUCACAGCUAACUUUACAGAUCCAAGCAAGUCUAGAUCCAAGUCCUUACCCAGAAAUGUAUCCUGGAGUUCAGAGGUCACUUGCCAAUCUCCGACCACCACCGGCUGCAUGUGGAAUCCCGGCAGCCUGGAGACCUCUCACUUCCUCUGGGAUACAGAGCGUCCUGCAACCACCCCUCCGUCCCCUCUCUGGUCCCCAGCCUCCAGGCGCAUAUCUCGCCCCACCAGCUCCUCCUCCCCUGCCUCCACCUCCCCCACAGACCGCAGGGUGUCACAGGACAGUCUGUCCCCCAGGGGGCGCUUGCCCUCCAGGGGCUACGUCUCCAGCCUGGCUGCCUUCGAGGAGUCCGACUCAGACUCAGCCUUUGACAUGGACUCUGACACAACCACAGACGAUGAAUACUGCCUGCCAGAAUCUUCAUUCUCCAUAGAGACGCUGGAUGCAGAGUUUCAGUCCCUUGCAAUUCCUCACAUCCUAAACGUUAAGUAG
rnacentral:lncRNA from 13 species